AUGAACGCUAGCUACAGGCUUAACACAUGCAAGUCGAGGGGAAACGAUAUUGAAAGCUUGCUUCUUAGGCGUCGACCGGCGAAUGGGUGAGUAACGCGUAUCCAACCUGCCCCUGAGUAAGGGAUAGCCCAUCGAAAGAUGGAUUAAUACCUUAUGGUUUCCUUUGAAGGCAUCAGAUUAGGAAUAAAGAUUUAUCGCUGAGGGAUGGGGAUGCGUCUGAUUAGCUUGUUGGCGGGGUAACGGCCCACCAAGGCGACGAUCAGUAGGGGUUCUGAGAGGAAGGUCCCCCACAUUGGUACUGAGACACGGACCAAACUCCUACGGGAGGCAGCAGUGAGGAAUAUUGGUCAAUGGGCGCAAGCCUGAACCAGCCAAGUAGCCGUGCAGGAUGACUGCCCUAUGGGUUGUAAACUACUUUUAUACGGGGAUAAAGUCAGGGUCGUGACCCUGUUUGCAGGUACCGUAUGAAUAAGGACCGGCUAAUUCCGUGCCAGCCGCCGC
rnacentral:rRNA from 1 species